rnacentral:rRNA from 1 species
UACAGAGGUCUCAAGCGUUGUUCGGAUUCAUUGGGCGUAAAGGGUGCGUAGGCGGCGCGGUAAGUCGGGUGUGAAAGCCCCGAGCUUAACUUGGGAAUGGCAUUGGAAACUGGCGGGCUGGAGUGUGGCAGAGGGGGGUGGAAUUCCACGUGUAGCAGUGAAAUGCGUAGAGAUGUGGAGGAACACCGAUGGCGAAGGCAGCCCCCUGGGCCAACACUGACGCUCAGGCACGAAAGCGUGGGGAGCAAACAGG